AGGACGAACGCUGGCGGCGUGCUUAACACAUGCAAGUCGAGCGGAAAGGCCCUUCGGGGUACUCGAGCGGCGAACGGGUGAGUAACACGUGAGCAACCUGCCCUUAGCUUCGGGAUAGCUCCGGGAAACCGGAAUUAAAUACCGAAUAUGAAUGCGGCUGACAUCAGCCACAUUGGAAAGUUUUUCGGCUAGGGAUGGACUCGCGGCCUAUCAGCUAGUUGGUGAGGUAACGGCCCACCAAGGCGACGACGGGUA
rnacentral:rRNA from 1 species